AUUAACCAGCUGACCUUAAGAUAGGGAAACUACUCAUCUAAUCACACGGGCCCUUUAAAAGCGGAGUGUUUUCUUUGGCUGGAGGCAGAAGAGGAAAUCUUAGAGAUUCCAAGCCUGAGAAGGACUCAACCCACAAUUACUGGCUUUGAGGAUGGAGCAAGGGGGCAAUGAGCCAAGGAAUACAGGUCUGCUGGAGUUUGCUCGAGGUCCACUCCAGACCCUGUUUGGGUAUCACCAGUGGAGGCUGCAGAACAGGAAAGAUUGCUGCCUGUUCCUUCCCCUGGAAGCUUCAUCCCAGAGGGGCACCCGCCAGAUGCCAGCCAGAGCUCUCCGAUACCUUGACUAUGAAUAAUAGUUUCAAUAAGGAAGACAGAAUGAGUUCUGACACGAUGGUUGGGAGCUGUGACAGGCAGACGAAAAAUGGAGCCAAAUGGCAUGGAGGUGUCAUGAUGUUGGAACAGUAACAAUAACUCAACCAACCAGGGCUUGUCUGAAUACAAUCCUACAGCAGCAGGAGCUGUGGAGAUAUAGAAGGCAAGGAAGACCAGGUUGUGAGGGAAGACGAAUUUACUCCCAGGAAUGUUGGGAUUGAGAGUAAUAUUCUCCAAUAAUGGUGGAAGACAGAACAAUAAAAGCCCACCAGCUCCUUCUGCAUGGUGGGAUAAGAGAAAAGCCAAGGGCAGAAGUGAGAAAAAUAACCAUCACCAAACUGAAAAGAAAACCUUUAUAAAAAAACUGGAUUGAUAAAUGACCUUUAGUAGUGGAAAGAUACCAUUCCAAUGAAGCAUGAAUUGAAAGGAUUUCUUCUGAAAGCUAAUUUACAUUUUUCUUUUUUUUUUUUUCAUUUUCAGUGUGUUUUAGCAGGUGUAUUGUUCUACAUGGUUAGUUUCUUUACCUCUUUGAGAAAAAUGGGUCAGCUUGACACAUCUGGAUGAAAGAAUCCGUUAGGUGAUUAUGAUUGAAGACAGAUUAAGCCUUGUUAUGAGGGGAAUAUUUGGGGGCUUACCCUGAGGUGAUAUUUGAUGAUUUAGCUGUGGGAGAAUUUCCCUCCCAAGAUCAGCGUGACUGACACUGAAAUUGCUACAGGGGAACCGGACCUUUCCAAGAGGUGACAAGGACAUUUACCUGGUACAACACAAUGGUUCUGGACUGGAAGUCUAGUCCCAUUGAUGAAGUUCCCAAAAGAUGUCCAGGUCCUAAUCCCUGGAAUCUGUGAAUAUGUCAUCUUACACAUCAAAAGAACUUUGAAAAUGUGAUUGAGGUUAAGGACCUUGGAAUGAGGAGAUUACCUUGGAUUAUCUGGUUGGGUCCAAGCUAAUCACAUGAGUCCUUAAAGGAGAAGAACCUUUUUUAGCUGGGUCAGAGAGAGAUGUGAUGAUGAAAACAGGCUCAGGGAGAUGCACUGUAAGAAGGGCUUGACCAGUUGUUUUUGACUUUGAAGAUGGAGGGAAGGGCCAGGAGCCAAGGAAGGUGGGUGGCUUUUGGAAGGUGGAAAAAGCAAGGGAACAUUCUCUCCAGAGCCUCCAGAAAGGAGCUCAGCCCUGUUGACAUCUUUGUUUUUAUUUUUUAUUUUUAGUAGCAUUGAGGUCUCACUAUGUUGCACAGGCUGGUCUUGAACUCUUGAGCUCAAGCACUCCUCCCGCCUUGGCUUCCCAAAGUGCUGGGAUUAUAGGCAUGUGCCACCACAUCUGGCUUCCUACUGACAUCUUAACUUUAGUGCAGUGAGACUCAUAUUUGAAUUUCUGACCUUAUAUUAUAGAACCAUAAGACAUUAUAGAAUUAUAUAGAAUUAUAGAACCAUAAGACAAUAACUUUGUGUUGUUUUAAGAUACUAAAUUUUUGGUAAUUUGUUAUGGCAGCACAAUAAAACCAAUAUAGCAUUAUAUUAUGCCAAUAUCAUCUCUUUGUUGACUAUUGCUAUUAUAGUUUGUUUUAUGGGUCUUGUGUAAACAAUCAAGCUAUAAUAUUGGGUUAACUCCCUAAGGAAAACUUGGAAUAUAGAACAUUAUUUUAAAGACUGAAUUAGGUAAAUACACCUGCCAGUGAAUACAUUAACAAAUUAAUUAAUAUAUUCACUCUUUUCACUCACAAAUACUUUUUGAGCCCCUAUUACUAGCCAAACAUUUUGUUAGAUUCUGAGAAGGGUCUGCUAGACAACAUUGUGACUAUAGUUAAUAACAAUAUAUUGUACUCUUGAAAAUUACUAAGAGAGUAGAUUUUAAGUGUUCUCACCACAAAAAAUAAGUAUGUGAGGUAAUGCAGAUGUUAGUUAGCUUGAUUUAGCCAUUCCCCAGUGUAUACAUAUUUCAAACCUUCAUAUUAUACAUGGAUAAAUAUAUACAAUUUUUAUUUGUCAAUUAAAAGCCCCUCGAUGAAUACAGUUUCCAUUCUGUCCUUGAGGUGGAGCUUGUAGACUUGGUGGGGUCCGGGGAUCAACUUUUAAACAGGCAGUUCCAAAGUGUGGAGUGGAUAGGCUUAUUCUCUUUGUUGCUUUUAUGAUAGGUAUUUAGAAUGCACUUUCCUCUGUUAAGUUAAGCCAGCCACCAUUCCCUCAUUCAGUUUCCAUCCUCCAUGAAUUUGCUCACAUCUGCGGUCUACUGUCACUCAUUCUUUCCUUCUCUUCCUGAGGGCUUGUGUGACUUAUGUUCUUGGCUUUCUCUUAGGAACAUGGUGCAGCUUGGCCCUGCAUUAUCCAUCUGGAAAAACAGAUCAUAAAACAGUCCUUCUCUGUACUAAGUGCUAAAGUAGGAGGAAGGGCAUAAGUCAGCUCCCUGAGCUAUAUAUCCUUGUUUUCAGGAGCUGAGCUAGACACAAGCAGAACUUGCAAAUAAUUUACAUUUCUUUCUGCUGAGGUGGUUCAGAAUAAGUUGCAACAAACAUGAACAGGAAUGGUGCAGUAAAU
rnacentral:lncRNA from 10 species